GAUGUAUUAAAGAGACAUUUAAUUAUCGAUUUAUUUUUCUGAAGGAGUUUUAUUUUAAGUUCAAGCAACUAAUUGAGUAAAAUAAAAUUAUUUAAUGUAAGUAAAUAGAAAUGAUGUUUUCUAUAUUAUAAAUUGAUCAAAAAAAAUUCUAUUAAUUUGUCAUAAGCAAAGAGGGAAAAAAUAUGGCUGAAUUUAUCAAAUUUGUUAGUGUUAUCAUUCUCUUAAUUUCCCUAUUUGUUGUAAUGGUCGAUGGUGGAUUUGAAAGUUACUGCACUUCUGAUAGUGAGUGUGAGUCUUACUGUUCAGAUCCAAAAUAUGCGAUGUGCUUGGUCAAUAGAUGUAUAUGCGACUAUACAUAAGUUAGGAGUAACGUUUCUACUCACCAAAAUUUGUUUAGGAAAAUGUUUUUUUUUCGUUGUAAAGUAUACAUUUUUUAGCGAAAAAAGUGUCGUUACAUGUCGCGGAUAUAAGUUUUGUUAUGAAAUGUUAGACCCAUCAUUUUAGAGAAAUUACUCAUCUUAAGAUUUAAUUUUUUGUCAUGUAUUGCUUUUCUAGCCGUUUGUUUGUUGAAACCUGUCGUAAAUGUACUUAUAUAAAUAAGUGUUCUAUUUUUCACAAGUUACUAA